rnacentral:tRNA from 1 species
UCCGAUAGGGGCUUUUGAGUUUU